rnacentral:rRNA from 1 species
CCUACGGGAGGCUGCAGUGGGGAAUAUUGGACAAUGGGCGAAAGCCUGAUCCAGCCAUGCCGCGUGUGUGAAGAAGGCCUUCGGGUUGUAAAGCACUUUCAGUGGGGAAGAAAGCCUUGGGGCUAAUACCCUCGAGGAAGGACAUCACCCACAGAAGAAGCACCGGCUAACUCCGUGCCAGCAGCCGCGGUAAUACGGAGGGUGCGAGCGUUAAUCGGAAUUACUGGGCGUAAAGCGCGCGUAGGCGGUCUGAUAAGCCGGUUGUGAAAGCCCCGGGCUCAACCUGGGAACGGCAUCCGGAACUGUCAGGCUAGAAUGCAGGAGAGGAAGGUAGAAUUCCCGGUGUAGCGGUGAAAUGCGUAGAGAUCGGGAGGAAUACCAGUGGCGAAGGCGGCCUUCUGGACUGACACUGACGCUGAGGUGCGAAAGCGUGGGUAGCAAACAGGAUUAGAUACCCUUGUAGUC